AGAAUCAACGCUGGCGGCGUGCCUAACACAUGCAAGUCGAACGCGAAAGUGGAGCAAUCCAUAAGUAGAGUGGCGAACGGGUGAGUAACACGUGGGUGACCUACCCUCGAGUGGGGGAUAACAUCCCGAAAGGGUGCUAAUACCGCAUGACAUCCUGUCUUUGAACAGAUGGACAUUAAAGCCGGGGAUCGCAAGACCUGGCGCUCGUGGAGGGGCCCGCGCCCGAUUAGCUAGUUGGUGAGGUAACGGCUCACCAAGGCUUCGAUCGGUA
rnacentral:rRNA from 1 species